rnacentral:rRNA from 1 species
AACGAACGCUGGCGGCAGGCUUAACACAUGCAAGUCGAACGGUUGUAGCAAUACAGCAGUGGCAGACGGGUGAGUAACACGUGGGAACCUUCCUAGGGGUACGGAACAACUCAGGGAAACUUGAGCUAAUACCGUAUACGUCCGUGAGGAGAAAGAUUUAUCGCCCUUAGACGGGCCCGCGUAGGAUUAGCUAGUUGGUGGGGUAACGGCCUACCAAGGCGACGAUCCGUAGCUGAUCUUAGGGGAUGAUCAGCCACACUGGGACUGAGACACGGCCCAGACUCCUACGGGAGGCAGCAGUGGGGAAUCUUGGACAAUGGGCGCAAGCCUGAUCCAGCCAUGCCGCGUGAGUGAAGAAGGUCUUCGGAUUGUAAAGCUCUUUUGCCAGGGACGAUAAUGACGGUACCUGGAGGAUAAGCCCCGGCAAACUUCGUGCCAGCCGCCGCUGUAA